rnacentral:rRNA from 1 species
UACGUAGGUGGCAAGCGUUGUCCGGAAUUAUUGGGCGUAAAGCGCGCGCAGGUGGUUCUUUAAGUCUGAUGUGAAAGCCCACGGCUCAACUGUGGAGGGUCAUUGGAAACUGGGGAACUUGAGUGCAGAAGAGGAAAGUGGAAUUCCAAGUGUAGCGGUGAAAUGCGUAGAGAUUUGGAGGAACACCAGUGGCGAAGGCGACUUUCUGGUCUGUAACUGACACUGAGGCGCGAAAGCGUGGGGAGCAAACAGG